AUGGAGACCGAGAUGGCCAAGAGCUUCGGCCUUGGCGAGGCGGCGGCGGCCGGUCCAGGCGGGAUUGAUUUUGCGUCGUUGUCCGGGAGCGGCGGAUUGGGCGCGAACCAAAUCGUGAAGGUGGGGGAGGGGGAGGUCGCAGAGGAGAAGGGCGGGCUGCCCGGCCUGUUGGAUGUUCCUGGCGGUGUUCUGUUGGAGAUGUAUUAUCUGAUGCAGUUUUCUGAGAUGAAGGCACUAGGCGAUGCUGUUGGAUUUCGGUCUACCUUUCUGUUUGCUUCUGUGUUUGGUAUGUUUGACCCUCUUUGCGCCUACAUCUUCACGAAAUCAGGAUCUGACGCUGCCGACCCUCCUGUUCGUUCAGGUACCAGGUUGUACAAUACCCAGAAGCUGGUGCCAUCUGGCCUUCUUUCAGCACUCUCUCUAGGUGCCCUGGGAGUCUUCUACGCUGCUUACUUGCAAGACAAGGUGUGUGCUAAUCGCCUGACCAACUCUACUUUUCUGUACUACUAA
rnacentral:rRNA from 1 species